AACUAUGACUUUUUCGAAAGUUAAAAUACACAAAAUAGAAAACUCAUCAGCCAUUUGGGGAUUUAUUCAUCACACGAUCUAGGGUUGCUGGGUGGUGAAUGACGGCUGCUGGGCGAACAGCGGCUCGGCGGCAGCUGGGUGAACGGCGACGGUGACGGUGGUGAACGCCUCCAGCAAGCGUGGGUUCUCGGCUCCAGCACUCUCGGCGUCGUUGACAGGAACGGUGAGAGGAAAAUCUUCUCCGGCGUUGGUUCUCGGCUCCAGCACUCUCGGCGGCGGUGCGGGUUCUCGGCGUGGGUCUCUGCUGGUUGCUGGUUGCUGGUUCACGAUUCCAGCAGGGAAAGACGGAUUCUGAGGCUAAAGCUGCUGCAGGGGUAUAGACAAUGCUCGUGCUGUAACCAAUCUGGUGACUGCUCGAUAAAGGUGUGAAUAUCCAGACUGUAAAUGGUUUGAUUAUGAUAUUAGAUAUAUGUAGUAUGUGUUAAACUUUAUCCCAACCAGGGACAAACUUAGGACCAUAAUCCAGGGUGGGCAAACUAUAAUACUUUAUUAGGAAAUGCUACCAAUUCAUCUGCCAAAAGCAACAAAUCCAUUACAAAGUUUAAAGGCUCUGAAAAAAGUCUCCAUAAUGGAAAAAAAGAUUGAUAUAGUAAAAUAAGAAUUGAGUAUCUUAUUCGAAGACUUUGACAAAACUUAAGAAAUAGAAAUACUUGAUAAAGCUGAUAUUGACUUUUAAAUAGGAUAAAUCAAUUUCACAACUCAUAACCUGGCAAAGUGGACACUUAGGUAUAAUAUGUAGGGUGAAGUAUUGUUUUGGUUGUUGUAUGAGUGUUUUGGUAUAGCUGCAGUUGUAAUUUUUGUUUUGCUCAAAAAGUUGUACUCACUUAAUACAUUGUAUUUAUUGUUCUGUUAGUGUAAUAUGCUUGGUCUGCAUAAUUUAUUGAUUAGUGCAUUUUUUGUCACCGAGUAUUGCUUUAUACCACUGUUUUUUUUUUGUAUCAAUUGUUUUGUAUAUGUCAUGCACUAUCUAUAUUUAUAUAAAAUUGAAAUAGGGUAGGCAAUAGACGCUAAGUCUGGCUAUAUAUACAUAUAAGAUAUAUAUAUUUCAAAAAAUUGGUUGAAAAGUGGUUGUUGUUCUGAUUGUAUUUUUGUAACCUUUGAUUAUGUUUACAUGUUCAGCUUCAGUGGUAAAACUGCUAAAAAGUACUCAAAACAAUGGACCUGUUUGGUUAGCCUUACUGGUUUUAUUAGAGCAGAAAACAUAGAUUGAUAUGGAUUCAUAUUAUUGCUUAAUUUUGUGGUUAAACGUGUACUGUGUAAAGCCCAUUUUCUUCACUUUGUUUCAUUUCGUUUCAUUGAUUUGUAAUUUAGUUUUUUGAGAAGUUGAUUGGUUUUUUUGUACUCUUUCAAAUUCAUUUCAUUGUAUUCUUCUUUUGAGAUUUUGCAACUUGCAACAAUGAUUAACAUAUUCUAUUACACACCUAUAAUUAAUGUUGGAGUUCUUCACUUAUAGAUUUUAAUGUUUUUGCAGCAAGCACUUUUAUUAAAAGGGAGGGGCUCGGGCAGGGAGGGGAUUGGCAGGGAAGGUGGCUGAGCUGGGCUCGGGGCUGGCUGGAGGUCGAAGGCGCAGGGAGGGGUUUAGGUUGGGCUGGGUUGGGCUUGGCUUGGGUCGACGGUGCAGGGAGGGGCUCGGCAGGGACGGUGGCUGGGCUGGGCUCGGGGCUGGCUGGUGGGGUUCUCAACUUCACGGCGGCGACACUAUAACUCACGGUGGCAACAAGUAUUUAUUUUAUUUCUUGAUUUUUUUAUGUUAAAAUAUGUUUCAUUUGAUUGUGUUGGAUAUGUUCAGAUCUGAUUUUGAGCCUAGACUAAUAAUGAGUAUCAUCUUUAGUGUA